rnacentral:rRNA from 1 species
GCACAAGCAGUGGAGUAUGUGGUUUAAUUCGACGCAACGCGAAGAACCUUACCAAGUCUUGACAUCCCUUGACGAACGUAGAAAUACGUUUUCUCUUCGGAGCAAGGAGACAGGUGGUGCAUGGUUGUCGUCAGCUCGUGUCGUGAGAUGUUGGGUUAAGUCCCGCAACGAGCGCAACCCUUAUGGUCAGUUACUACGCAAGAGGACUCUGGCCAGACUGCCGUUGACAAAACGGAGGAA